GUGCCAGCCGCCGCGCGGUAAUACGGAGGGUGCAAGCGUUACUCGGAAUCACUGGGCGUAAAGCGCGCGCAGGCGGCUAGAUAAGUUGGAAGUGAAAUCCUAUGGCUCAACCAUAGAACUGCUUCCAAAACUGUUUAGCUAGAAUCUGGGAGGGGAAGAUGGAAUUAGUAGUGUAGGGGUAAAAUCCGUAGAGAUUACUAGGAAUACCAAAAGCGAAGGCGAUCUUCUGGAACAGUACUGACGCUGAGGCGCGAAAGCGUGGGGAGCAAACAGGAUUAGAUACCCUGGUAGUCCACGCCCUAAACGAUGAAUGUUAGUCGUCGGGACUCUAGUAGUUUCGGUGAUGCAGUUAACACAUUAAACAUUCCGCCUGGGGAGUACGGUCGCAAGAUUAAAACUCAAAGGAAUAGACGGGGACCCGCACAAGUGGUGGAGCAUGUGGUUUAAUUCGAAGAUACGCGAAGAACCUUACCUAGCCUUGACAUAUUUUAGAACUCCGCAGAGAUGUAGAGGUGCCUUCGGGAGCUAAUAUACAGGUGCUGCACGGCUGUCGUCAGCUCGUGUCGUGAGAUGUUGGGUUAAGUCCCGCAACGAGCGCAACCCUCGUUCUUAGUUACUAACGGUUCGGCCGAGGACUCUAAGAAGACUGCCUUCGUAAGGAGGAGGAAGGUGAGGACGACGUCAAGUCAUCAUGGCCCUUACGGCUAGGGCAACACACGUGCUACAAUGGUUAGGACAAUGAGACGCAAUACCGCGAGGUGGAGCAAAUCUAUAAACCUAAUCUCAGUUCGGAUUGUAGUCUGCAACUCGACUACAUGAAGCUGGAAUCACUAGUAAUCGUAGAUCAGCUAUGCUACGG
rnacentral:rRNA from 1 species